AUUGAACGCUGGCGGCAUGCUUUACACAUGCAAGUCGAACGGUAACAGGCCGCAAGGUGCUGACGAGUGGCGAACGGGUGAGUAAUGCAUCGGAACGUGCCCAGUCGUGGGGGAUAACGCAGCGAAAGCUGCGCUAAUACCGCAUACGAUCUGUGGAUGAAAGCGGGGGACCGUAAGGCCUCGCGCGAUUGGAUCGGCCGAUGUCAGAUUAGGUAGUUGGUGGGGUAAAGGCUCACCAAGCCAACGAUCUGUAGCUGGUCUGAGAGGACGACCAGCCACACUGGGACUGAGACACGGCCCAGACUCCUACGGGAGGCAGCAGUGGGGAAUUUUGGACAAUGGGCGCAAGCCUGAUCCAGCAAUGCCGCGUGCAGGAAGAAGGCCUUCGGGUUGUAAACUGCUUUUGUACGGAACGAAAAGGCUCUGGAUAAUACCUGGGGCUCAUGACGGUACCGUAAGAAUAAGCACCGGCUAACUACGUGCCAGCAGCCGCUGUAAAAC
rnacentral:rRNA from 1 species